CUAACGCUGGUGGCGUGUCUUAGUCAUGCAAGUCGAACGAGAAAGUACCCUUCGGGGUGCGAGUACAGUGGCGAACGGGUGAGUAACACGUGGGUAACCUGCCUCCAAGCGGGGGACAACUCCUCUAACGAGGGGCUAAUACCGCAUAAUGCAUCGUUCUCGCAUGUGAAUGUUGCCAAAGGUGGCCUCUUCUUGAAAGCUGCCACUUGGAGAUGGACCCGCGCUCCAUUAGCUUGUUGGUGAGGUAACGGCUCACCAAGGCUACGAUGGAUAGCCGGCCUGAGAGGGUGAUCGGCCACACUGGAACUGAGACAAGGUCCAGUCCCCUACGGGGGCCAGCAGUCUAGAAAUUUGCACAAUGAACGAAAGUUCGAUGCAGCGACGCCACGUGAAGGAUGAAGCCUUUAGGGGUGUAAACUUCUGUCAGGAGGGAAGAAUGCGAAGGGGUGAAUAGCCUCUUCGUUUGACGGUACCUUCAGAGGAAGCUCCGGCUAACUUC
rnacentral:rRNA from 1 species